UACAGAGGUCCCAAGCGUUGUUCGGAUUCAUUGGGCGUAAAGGGUGCGUAGGCGGCGCGGUAAGUCGGGUGUGAAAUCUCGGGGCUUAACUCCGAAACUGCAUUCGAUACUGCCGUGCUUGAGGACUGGAGAGGAGACUGGAAUUUACGGUGUAGCAGUGAAAUGCGUAGAGAUCAUGAGGAAGACCAGUGGCGAAGGCGGGUCUCUGGACAGUUCCUGACACUGAGGCACGAAGGCCAGGGGAGCAAACGGG
rnacentral:rRNA from 1 species